GCUAUACAUGCAGUCGAGCGAAUGCAAGGGAGCUUGCUCCCAAUGAUUAGCGGCGGACGGGUGAGUAACACGUGGGUAACCUGCCUGUAAGAUUGGGAUAACUCCGGGAAACCGGAGCUAAUACCGGAUAACAUUUUGAACCGCAUGGUUCAAAAUUAAAAGGGGGCUUUUGCUACCACUUACAGAUGGACCCGCGGCGCAUUAGCUAGUUGGUGAGGUAAUGGCUCACCAAGGCAACGAUGCGUAGCCAACCUGAGAGGGUGAUCGGCCACACUGGGACUGAGACACGGCCCAGACUCCUACGGGAGGCAGCAAUAGGGAAUCUUCCGCAAUGGACGAAAGUCUGACGGAGCAACGCCGCGUGAACGAUGAAGGCCUUCGGGUCGUAUAGUUCUGUUGUUAGGGAAGAACAAGUACCAGAGUAACUGCUGGUACCUUGACGGUACCUAACCAGAAAGCCACGGCUAACUACGUGCCAGCAGCCGCGGUAAUACGUAGGUGGCAAGCGUUGUCCGGAAUUAUUGGGCGUAAAGCGCGCGCAGGUGGUUUCUUAAGUCUGAUGUGAAAGCCCACGGCUCAACCGUGGAGGGUCAUUGGAAACUGGGGAACUUGAGUGCAGAAGAGGAAAGUGGAAUUCCACGUGUAGCGGUGAAAUGCGUAGAGAUGUGGAGGAACACCAGUGGCGAAGGCGACUUUCUGGUCUGUAACUGACACUGAGGCGCGAAAGCGUGGGGAGCACACAGGAUUAGAUACCCUGGUAGUCCACGCCGUACACGAUGAGUGCUAAGUGUUAGAGGGUUUCCGCCCUUUAGUGCUGCAGCUAACGCAUUAAGCACUCCGCCUGGGGAGUACGGUCGCAAGACUGACACUCAAAGGAAUUGACGGGGGCCCGCACAAGCGGUGGAGCAUGUAGGUUUAAUUCGAAGCAACGCGAAGACCCUUACCACGUCUUGACAUCCCACUGCUCGGUAUAGAGAUAUACCUUUCCCUUCGGGGACAGUGGAUGACAGGUGGUGCAUGGUUGUCGUCAGCUCGUGUCGUGAGAUGAUGCGGUUAGUCCCGCACGAGCGCAACUCGUUGAUCUAAGUUGCCAGCAUUCAGUUGGGCAACUUCUAAGGUGACUGGCCNGGUNAC
rnacentral:rRNA from 1 species